rnacentral:rRNA from 1 species
AUUGAACGCUGGCGGCAGGCCUAACACAUGCAAGUCGAACGAGUGGCGGACGGGUGAGUAAUGUCUGGGAAACUGGCUGAUGGAGGGGGAUAACUACUGGAAACGGUAGCUAAUACCGCAUACCAUCAGAUGUGCCCAUAUGGGAUUAGCUUGUUGUGGGGGUAACGGCUCACCAAGGCGACGAUCCCUAGCUGGUGUUAGGAUGACCAGCCACACUGGAACGGAGACACGGUCCAGACUCCUACGGGAGGCAGCAGUGGGGAAUAUUGCACAAUGGGCGCAAGCCUGAUGCAGCCAUGCCGCGUGUAUGAAGAAGGCCUUCGUGUUGGAAAGUACUUUCAGCGGGGAGGCGUUACCCGCAAAAGAAGCACCGGCUAACUCCGUGCCAGCAGCCGCGGUAAUUC